GAGACAGUUCGGUCUCUAUCUACUGUGGGCGUUAGAAAUUUGAGUGGAUCUGACUCUAGUACGAGAGGACCGAGUUGGACUAACCUCUGGUGUACCAGUUGUUCCGCCAGGAGCAUUGCUGGGUAGCUACGUUGGGAAAGGAUAAGCGCUGAAAGCAUAUAAGCGCGAAACCUACCACAAGAUGAGAUUUCUUUAAAGGGUCGUGGAAGAUGACCACGUUGAUAGGCUACAGGUGUAAAGGCAGUAAUGUCAUAGCCGAGUAGUACUAAUAACCCAUAGGCUUAUUGUA
rnacentral:rRNA from 1 species